GCUGAACUGCCUGGAGCAGUUUUGGGGCUGUGUUGAGGAAUCGAACCUCCUGUUGCUCAGCGGUGGGAGCCCUCUAUCCCCACGUUACCGGCUUACGAUCCGGGGAGCCUAUCGCUUCACUGCAACAGUC
rnacentral:antisense_RNA from 1 species